rnacentral:rRNA from 1 species
AUUGAACGCUGGCGGCAGGCCUAACACAUGCAAGUCGAGCGGUAGAGAGGAGCUUGCUUCUCUUGAGAGCGGCGGACGGGUGAGUAAUGCCUAGGAAUCUGCCUAGUGGUGGGGGAUAACGUUCGGAAACGGACGCUAAUACCGCAUACGUCCUACGGGAGAAAGCGGGGGAUCUUCGGACCUCGCGCCAUUAGAUGAGCCUAGGUCGGAUUAGCUAGUUGGUGAGGUAAUGGCUCACCAAGGCGACGAUCCGUAACUGGUCUGAGAGGAUGGUCAGUCACACUAGAACUGAGACACGGUCCAGACUCCUACGGGAGGCAGCAGUGGGGAAUAUUGGACAAUGGGCUAAAGCCUGAUCCAGCCAUGCCGCGUGUGUGAAGAAGGUCUUCGGAUUGUAAAGCACUUUAAGUUGGGAGGAAGGGUAGUAACCUAAUACGUUGCUACUUUGACGUUACCGACAGAAUAAGCACCGGCUAACUUCGUGCCAGCCGCCGCGGUAAGAC